AUGGAGCGAAGGUCGAGACGGUCCGCACGCAGACGAGCCGACGCCGGAGAAGCCGGCCGCUGUCGCGGGCAGAACCGUCGAGCCACCGUGAAGCCGCCACGACACCAAGAGGCCAUCCGGUGGACCUCCCCACGCCGCCGCCCACGGCCAGAGCAGCGGCCACGCCCCGCCGCUGCCCAACCCACGUCGCCCUGCGAACUCCAAGCGCCAGAUCCGCUAGGCACGCACCGCCGGAACCACGAGCCGUCGGCCGACCCCCAAAGCGUUGCCAAACGCGGCCCGCGCCCCCGCAAGGUCAGCUUUGGCUGGGGCGCCGGCAGCCAACCCUGA
rnacentral:rRNA from 1 species